UCAAAGGCACACUGAAUUCCACUAUCAGAUGUUUACAUAAACCACUACUAAAAGGCAACAAGCAGAAGAGAUUAGUUUGGGCCAAGUAACAAAAGGAAUGAACAAUGGAAACUUUGGUCGGGUGAGUCAAGAUGAAUGAGUGACACCAAUGCUUUAGCUUUCACUCAGCAGUACCAGCGCCAUACAAAUCUUGAGAUCCUGAAGACUAGUGACUGGUGACUCGUCCUCAGCCGCGACACGUGGCCUGCCUCCACUGGACGGACUUGCCAGAUUGGUCUUCUUGUUCGCUUUUCAUGAAUCUGAACUACAUUUCCACAACUGUUAAUGUUAAAGCUAAUGUCUGGCUUGGGGAACUCACUCAAGGUCUGGCAGCGGUUGGUCAAAGUCAUGAAACUCCUCUGGCAGGGUGAUGGCGUUGUAAGCAGCUUCUCUGUUCUCCUCUGGAAGGUCCACCACACCUGAGAGGCGAACAACAGGACAUAUCUACGACACCAAGUCUUUCGGCAUUCUUGCAUUUACUCAAGUGACAAAAAUGCUAACAUAAUUUUGGGAUUAGAUUCUGAGUACCUGGUCUGAAAGCCAUCUUGAUCUUGAUGAAGGCUUCAUUGCAGUCAGCCAGAAGGUACUUGGCCUUCCUGUGGUAGAUCCUCACCACACCCAGCAGGAGAUGACCAGACGUUCUUAAAGCCAUUUUCACCUGACACAUUCACAAGUUAGGAGUCUGCGUCACUAAACAAAGCAGGUGAUGCUCUACCUUUGGGGAGAUGAUGCUCUCAACACUGCUUUCAAGGUUGCACUCAAACACAUGUGCUUUGGUCAGCUUUUUGUCCCAAUGGGCCGCCAGCCAGAUUUUGGCCAGCGGCCCCCGCUUGCUGAGUACGAAAUGUGCGUAGAACAUUGUUCACAGGGAGUCUCACCAUAGGGGGUGGAGGGAAGGGGAGGAUCCACGGCCUUGAGAGGGAAAGGAAACAAAAUCAGGAAAUUUUCCAUGUCACAAAAGAUGUAUAACAGUUUAAAUGAGUAUGUGAGGGAAAUACAAAUAGAUUCAGCUACAGCCACCCGCUUGAGUUGGCCACACGUGACUAGACAAAUGCUAAAAUCACUCUCUGAACAGCACGGUUGGUUUUCUUUGCAACCACCCCUUUCAAUGUACUGUACCCAGAAGCCACGCCUCCAGAGCAACGCACCAUCACUUUAUUAACUUCUUCUUAGGGCUCUAAUUAUUCAUUCAAAUGAUAUUUAACAGCAUGCAAUAUCAGUAUCAGCACUUUCCACAUUUUAUUUCAAUAGGCUAUAAAAGUUAUCUGUUGAACCGUGGCCUUUAUAGACUGUUAAUAAAAGAGGCGUCUGUAGAGCCUGUGGCUUAGACUGAGAGUUUUACAAGAAUGUACAAUAUUAGAUAAAUUUAUUAAUGGAAGAUGUAUCAGAAAAUCCUUAAUUCACAUUAUUCACCAGCAUACAAUUGGUGUGCUAUCGUUAACUCUUAGCUCCCAUCUAAAUCAUACCAUAAUUAUAUCAACUAGUGUGUUGUUGCCCAAAAUCUAUCAAACCUUUAACUAGAGGUAUUUUUUUUCAGUAAACUUGGAAUUAUUUAGACAGCACAGCUUUGCCUGCAACCUUUAACCCACAUAACCACACUCAGUUGACCUUUAUCACUUUGGAUGUUCCCUAUUAAUGCCGCAGCAUUGGUAAACAGUCUGGAUGUCAUUCUCACUUGAAAGUAUUUUAAUUAGUCAACCACCAUUACGUCACCUUGCCUUUGAUGAGACACGUAUUUAAGUUCUGUCCCACUCUCUCCGUGCCUUGGAAUGAGGACUAAGUCUUUUUUAUUAUUCAAACAUUUAUUUCUAUGAACUUAUUGGAGCAACAAGACUGUGUUCUGACAGGAUGGGCAGACAGUUACUAUAUUGUCAUGGUGAUAAACGGAAUGAGGGUCAGAUGAGGAAAGCCAGGGAUGGAUCUGGAUGGGCAGAAAUUGGUGUCACCAGGCAACACUUUAUUUUAAAUGUAUUUGUUUGUAUGUGAAAUGAUUAGUGGUAUAGUUGCCAUUUUUAAGGAAAUCCCAGAUCAAUGAAUGAAACAACCUGUAGUUAACUUGUUGAGGAUUUGUUCUGUGCUUGUGGGGGCCUCCGGAACACAGCACAGUGUCGCCAGCUCCAUUGCUCUCUUAAGUGUCUCGACCUGCAUGUAGCUAAAUCAGCUCCUUGUCUGCCAGUCGUUGUCUUAAUGCAUCAGUAGGAUUCAAACCAUAAUAACGCACUUUUUUUGUUUUUUUAUGCACCAGAAAAAAUUUCGAGUGUCCCUAAUACAAAGGAUUAUGAGUUGAGAUGAAUUAAAAAUCUAUAUUUUUUUAAUUGUGAAAGCAUUUUUUGCAUCAAUAAAGUCAGUGCACCUGUUGGAUGACAUCACAUCAUGACGCUUCGUUUUCAGUAAAUGCGUUAUUACACUAAAUGUGUCAUUAUGAUUAUUUAGUAUCACAUUAUGACGUGAGCCUAACGCAAAGCCUGUGUCGAUCCUUUCAUCAAAAAAAAAGAAAAAAGAUCUUCAAUGUUACGAAUUAAAAUCUGUUACCUGAAUUGACUUUCAACUAUUGAACCUAUGAUGCUUGUUUUUCAUUGCACAAAAUCAUCGAUGAUGUCAUUCUGGAUUGGGUGGACAAUAAAACAUCGAUGUCAAACGUGACGUUGAACACAAUUUCAAAAACAUCUCUGUCAGUAACGACGCGCUGUCCCAACAGGUGAUGUGAUGUCAGCCAUGCCUCCGGGGACUGCGUGAUUUUUCUAGUCACAGCGGUCAUUUCUGACGCGGUUGGACGCGCGUGUAAUUCAGUGACACUGAACAGACCUACCGCUUAGGAGCUCGGUCCUGUGGCGUUGUCGGUGUUUUAUCGUCAUUUCGCUUCUGUUCUCUUUCUCACACUCACAGAAGAUGGCGAGCCUCUGUCCACCGUCGCCGGCGGAGAGCUGCUGAUGUUGCUGUCAUGCGCAGUCGAAAUAAGAAUAAGAAUAUAAGAAUAUAAGAAUAUAAGAAUAUAAGAAUAUAAGAAUAAGAAUAAGAAUAAGAAUAAGAAUAAGAAUAAGAAUAAGAAUAAGAAUAAGAAUAAGAAUAAGAAUAAAUACUUUGUAACGUAAUGUGAGAUGUGCAAUAUUCUUUUUUUAAUUCAGCCAGUGUCCAAACAUGAUGUUUUCGUCGGACAUAGUGUAAAUGUGUCCUUUACCACCCCACUUCUUAAAAAAAAAAAAAAAAAAAAGACCUUGUGGAAACAGAACUCUUGCCUCAGUCUGAAAGUUGGUCCAACUUUACUUACACCCCUGGUGCGAGCAUUAAAGCGUAGGCUGUCACUUCAUUUAAUUAUUUAUUCAUGUGGCGACGAAGAUAAAUUAUUCCGCUGUAACAUUUGGAGUGGUCCCAGAGUCAGGUUUCGGCCUUAAGCAAAUGAAGGUUGGAAAAAAUGCACCGCCGCCUUUAACUGAUUUCUGCAGCUCAGGUGACUUGGCUGUGGCCCUGGGCCUCCUCCUUGUGGUUCUUUCCCUGGACAAGUUACCACACUUGCUGCACAUAUCUAAUUCACCAGUACGAACGGACUCGUCAUCCAUGCAGUCACGAGCUCUUCUCCUUGCCGUUGACGCCACAGACGCACCAGGAGAGGGCGCUUCCGUCCCAUCAAAGGCUUGUCUCCAGAUAAGAAGAAAGUGCUCUCAGGCUCCAGAGACCAUCUAACAAACCCCACUGGGAGGUGACUCAACUUGAGCACAAAGGAUCUGCUUAUAUUUCGCUGCAAAAAGGCUGCUGGAUUGUCUGUCUCUCAAAGAACCUGUCUGACGACAGACAAACUCGUCUUUAUCAGGAGAUUUCCUGAGAGUUGAUGGAUGUGUGUGCAGCACAUCACACAGACUAACAAGCGCUGGGACCAAGUGAAAGCUCACUCACAUUUCUCACACCGGAUUUGUAUGGUGCGACUGAAUGAAGAACAGAGGCAGAGAAGAAGGAGGGGUGAGCAGUAAUGGGGGGGUCUUUUCAGUUCUUUCUGGGAGCAACAAUAGUCUUUGUCCAAGAUCUUCCACCAUUCUCAUUAGGGUUACCCCAGGGAGAGGGAGUGGGGGCGAGCAGGCGGAGAGGAGUUUCUGCUUAGUAACAAUGACAAAACAAGGCAGUGGCGCAGCAGAAGCCAUGCCGGCAGCUGCCUCACACACUAACUUCUUCAGCAACAACAGAGGAUAAAGACGGACUCCUGAAAAAGCUCGACAAGAGAAGGCAACACAUGUGGGGAGCUUACCGAAACCUUCAACCACCAACAUGAACCGAGACAGUCACACAGAGGAUACUCUUUCCACCAUGGUUCUGGAGAACAUCAAGAACAAGCUGAUCAACGCUUUUAGGACAAGUGGAGAAGCCAGGGAGAAUCACAAGGCCACUGCUGUAUCUGUCAGACCACUCAGCAUCAGCAGGAGUCAGCAGGCCAAUGAGGAACUAAGGCGAGCACAGAUUGAUGGAGCCAUCACCUGGCUUAGGUCUGAGCUGCUGGAAAUGCGUUCACAGGACCUCCAGUUGGCUCAGACAUUGCUGGGCCUCAACACUGAGAUCCAAAGACUGAGGCGGGAGAGUUUCAGGGGUGUGGAGGUGGGAGGGAACGAUCCAUCAGAGUGACACUUUGGUGCACCAAGUCCUUGAAAACAUUUGUUAAAAACAAGUAUGCUUUGUGAGAUUAAAGUUUUUUUUAAAUCA